UGGGGAAUUUUGGACAAUGGGCGAAAGCCUGAUCCAGCAAUGCCGCGUGUGUGAAGAAGGCCUUCGGGUUGUAAAGCACUUUUGUCCGGAAAGAAAUCCUUGGCUCUAAUACAGUCGGGGGAUGACGGUACCGGAAGAAUAAGCACCGGCUAACUACGUGCCAGCAGCCGCGGUAAUACGUAGGGUGCAAGCGUUAAUCGGAAUUACUGGGCGUAAAGCGUGCGCAGGCGGUUUGCUAAGACCGAUGUGAAAUCCCCGGGCUCAACCUGGGAACUGCAUUGGUGACUGGGCAGGCUAGAGUAUGGCAGAGGGGGGUAGAAUUCCACGUGUAGCAGUGAAAUGCGUAGAGAUGUGGAGGAAUACGAUGGCGAAGGCAGCCCCUUGGGCCAAUACUGACGCUCAUGCACGAAAGCGUGGGGAGCAAACAGGAUUAG
rnacentral:rRNA from 1 species